rnacentral:tRNA from 1 species
GGGGGCGUAGCUCAGUUGGGAGAGCGCCUGCCUUGCACGCAGGGAGGUCAGGGGUUCGAUCCCCCUAGUCUCCACCA